UUUCCUGUAUUUUUCAUUUGAAAUACAAACAAAAAAACUGACGAAAUUACAAAAACUAUUCGGCAAUGUGUUAGAGAAGGACAAAUUCUGUGUGAAGAACAGCUGAGUUUUGACGUUUCAUUACCGAAAUUAAAAUUGAUGUAAAACAGUUUUGUAACAAUAAAAAUGAAAUUAAAGUGGCAAGAGAACUACGUAUUCCAUUUAAUUGACAAAGUCCACGGUGCAGAAUAUAUAUGGAAUCAUAUGCUACCAUCAUAUAAGCACAAAUAUAAAAAGCAGCAGUUUUGGCUCGCUUUGGUGGAUGAAAUGAACUCAACGUUCACAGCAAAUGUACCAUUUCAAUACAAUGAAGUUACGCACAAGUGGUGCAACAUCAAGUCAUAUUUCAGUUCAGAGAAGCAGAGGAUGGACAAGGCAAAGAGAAGCGGUGCCGGCGGAGACGAAAACGUACAGGCCAGCUGGAAGUUCUAUGUAGCUUUGAAAUUCCUACAACAUGUGAAUAAGCAUACACCACAGUGAAUAAUUUUAAUAAGUUGAGUUUGCAGAACCUGGACCCUGAUCCCAAUCCAUCGCGUAAGCUUGGGGAGCAACUGCAGCCUGCAGAAUGUUUCGAUCCAGGCUUUGACUCAGAGUCAUCCUUUUCACUCAUCGAAGACAACACAGAGUUCAUUACAAUUACCCCUCUUGCAAUUACAAGUAACAGCAGUAUCCAUUCGCUCCAAGAUACUAAAAACAUCUCUACAGAAGACACUAAUAGUGAUGCAACACCAAUUAAAAUCAUAUCGGAUGAGAUUGUAACUCCACCUCUGGUUACUUCGCAAAACUGUGGUCGGUUUGAUGACAAUAACAACAAUAGCACUAGAAAGUUGGUCCAUGCAACAAGAAAACGAAGAACAAAAAUUAAUAAUGAUUUGGAUGAAAACGCCUCUGCUUUAAUCGAAGCAUCACAAAAUUUAACAAAUGCCUUUCAUGUUGCAUCAAAAACAAAUAACACUGACGAAAAGGCAAACAGUUUUGGGAUAUACAUGGGUGAAGAAAUUGUAAAACUGGACCCCGACUUGCAACUCAAAGCGAAGAAACAAAUGCAUGACAUUUUGAUGGAUCUGCAAAGUGAGCAAUUGAAACGGAAUGGGCUUAUGUAACACAAUGACUAUUUAUAUGUAUGUAUGUACACUCAUAGACAAAAAUAGGAGUGUCCCUUUUUGUCAUGUUUUGACCAUUUUCCGUAGGUUAUUGAAUUUUAAUAACUUAUUUAUAAAACUUUAGUUAACUCUACAACCAAACACAUAUCACUAGAAGCUUUAAACUUUAAACAAAAUUCAAGAAAAUGCAUAAAAUUACAUAACAAUUUCGAACUUCCUUUUAAGUAUUUCAAAAACAAAAUGGGUUGUUGCGGCGCCCUCAGCUUAAAAAAAACAAUACCCAAAAUUAACGGUAAUCUUAAGCCACUUGAAAUUUGCCAUUUAUUACAUACAAAUUACACAUCUACACAGACAUGCAAUUUUCUUUUUAAUAUUUAAAAGAAAAAAAUCGAAAUUUUGAUGAGUUUUCCUGAAUUUCGUUUAAAGUUUAAAAGUUUUAUUGAUAUGGUUUUGUUUGUAGAGUUAACUAUACAUCCCGUGUCAUAAUUAUAAACGCACCACAUAUUGCCAAGUUUAAAGAUUUUUAAUUAAUGGGGUGUAUUUUUAUAAGUAAAUUAUUAAAGUUCAAUAAAUAAA
rnacentral:lncRNA from 1 species